rnacentral:rRNA from 1 species
GACGAACGCUGGCGGCGUGCUUAACACAUGCAAGUCGAACGGAAAGGCCCUGCUUUUGUGGGGUGCUCGAGUGGCGAACGGGUGAGUAACACGUGAGUAACCUGCCCUUGACUUUGGGAUAACUUCAGGAAACUGGGGCUAAUACCGGAUAGGAGCUCCUGCUGCAUUGUGGGGGUUGGAAAGUUUCGGCGGUUGGGGAUGGACUCGCGGCUUAUCAGCUUGUUGGUGGGGUAGUGGCUUACCAAGGCUUUGACGGGUAGCCGGCCUGAGAGGGUGACCGGCCACAUUGGGACUGAGAUACGGCGCAGACUCCUACGGGAGGCAGCAGUGGGGAAUAUUGCACAAUGGGCGGAAGCCUGAUGCAGCAACGCCGCGUGCGGGAUGACGGCCUUCGGGUUGUAAACCGCUUUCGCCUGUGACGAAGCGUGAGUGACGGUAAUGGGUAAAGAAGCACCGGCUAACUACGUG